rnacentral:lncRNA from 1 species
ACCCAACACUGUCAGAAACAAAAAUCUUAGAAAAUUAUUUCAGAACAAACUUCUUUCAUCAUAUCAGUGUCCUUUAUAAUAAAAUAAACAAAGAGGGAGAAACAGGAAAUGGGAGAUUAAAAUGAAUCUUCCAUUUCAAGAAAAAAAAAUCAUUUCUAAAAGUUUACAAGCAGGUCUCUCUUGGAUCUCUACAAAUGUCUCUGAAACAUUGCUGGUUAAAGCUCUUCGAAUAUGAUAGCCUUCUCCCCCACUCCCUGGAUAUGCAUUUCCUUCCUCUCUGUUUUUUGGUUUUUGGUUUUUGGGUUUUUUUGUUUUUGUUUUUGUUUUUUGUCUUUUGUCUUUCUAGGGCCGCACCUGCAGCAUGUGGAGGUUCCCAGGCUAGGGGUCCAAUCAGAGUUACAGCCGUCGGCCUACACCACAGCCACAGCAAUGCCAGAUUCAGAUCUGAGGCGCGUCUGUGACCUACACCAUAGCUCACAGCAGCAUGGGAUCCUUAACCCACUGAGCAAGGCCAGGGAUCAAACCUGAAACCUCAUGGUUCCUAGUCAGAUUUGUUUCUGCUGCACCACGAUGGGAAUUCCCCUCCCUCUCUUAUAAACAUAAUCUUUCUUUGAUGUUCAAAUAGACUCAGUGACUCUGGGGUCUCCUUGGGGUGGGUGCCCACAGAAGAGCCCUGUUCUUCACAGAAGCUGGGAAACCCUUCAGGGUGGGUGGUGACUUGCCAUAGACAAAAGGAGCCAGGUGGUGGGAGACCAUGGGACAGAAGAUGCGGUGAGUGGGAGGAAGCAUCCACUAGGAAACCUCACAAAUGUGAAUAGUUCUACUAUCUGGGUGGGAAGCUGCUCAUCAGUGUUUUCACAAGUGAGACCAAAAAACAAAACAAAACAAAAAACAAAAAAAAACACCUACUUCAAAUGCAAGCAUGAGUGAUGUUUAGGAUUCGACCUGUCUGCAUACGAGUGAAAAUCCAAAACAAUAGUGGCUUAAAUAGUGGCGAAGUUUCUUUCCCUCCUAAAAGCAUCGAGAGGGAGGGAGUCUGGGGCCAGGAAUGAUGGCUCGGCACAGUUGGCAGGUACCCAGGCACCUUCUGUCUUAUCACUCUGCCAUCCUCAGCUCACAGCCCAUUGUGCUUAUUUGAGUAAGUUUCAGCCUUAAUCAAGUCUAGAUUCUUGCCCAGGAGAUGGAGGAAGUGGUGAAGAGAGCCUUCCUUCUAAUAAACCUAAGUUGCUCGUGACCCUCCUGUGCAUGUCGCACCGGUCAGAACACGUUCUCGUGACCACACCUUGCUACGAGAGAGGCUGGAAAAUGGGAUACUUAUUGCUCGAAGCUGUUGCACAGCGAGGAAAGGGAGGGCGGAUAUGCAGGUCAAUGAUUAGCAAUCACUGCCAUGGGGAAGUUAUCUCAGAAGGUAGGACUUGGGGAGGUUUUUGGUUUUUGUUUUGUUAGCACAAGUACCACAAAUCCUUCUAUAUGAGACUUUUUUCAGCCCCCAUCCAAUCAUCUCUCUUAAUCAAUACAACUUCCCUGGUUUUGUGUUAUUUCUACUUUAUAAACCAAAGUAGAAGGAUCCCAACAGUUUGUGUCACUUACACAAAGCAGCUCCAUAAACUAUGCUGUUGGCUUCCAAAUUCAUUGGAAUCAGCCCUGUGUGGUUGCAAAGCCCCUUUGUCUGCAGCAACAAGAAUAGGAGGUGGAUGGGCCUGGGGAUGGCUUUUUUUGGUCUCUUGGGGUCUCUCAGCUCUAGGCACGGUCACCUCUUAACAUCUAUGUCUUCCUAAUUCUGAGCCCUGCCAUGCAGGAUUCCAGGAGCCCAUCACAUGGCAAACUGUGCUCAUUACCCCAGCCCUGCCCUAACCCCGGGAUGGCUGCUGGCUUGCUUGUUUUUCUGAGCUGAUGUUGGCAUUGGGGGCAGACUUACUCAACCCUGGUUGCACUCUGUACCCACUUUUGUUGAGGACAUGCAUGUGCUGCUAAAAUGGUGGAAGGCACUUAUUGCAGACCUCAGAGGGCCAGAGAGGAAAAGGAGCAUCAACCCAGAGCUGGGCCCCCCAGCGCCGAGACAUCGGUUGUUAGGAAGGAACACCUGAAAACAAAAAGAAACUGCCUUUGGCUGGCUCUGUGCCCUCUUGUUAUAUGGGUUCUUUUCCUAUUUUCAAAGAACUCUCUUAAAGGAUUAGGAAAUUUAAUGGUUACAUCACUGAGGAUGAGAAAUAAGCCAAGAAGAGUAGCUUUUAAGAAGGAGAUCGGGGCAUUCCCACUGUGGCUCAGAGGAAACAAAUCCAACUAGUAUCCAUGAGGAUGCGGGCUCAGUGGGUCGGGGAUCUGGCAUUGCUUGGAGCUGUGGUGUAGGUCGUAGAUGUGGCUCAGAUCCCAUGUUGCUGUGGCUGUGGUGUAGGCUGCCGGCUGUAGCUCCAAUUUGACCUCUAGCCUGGGAACCUCCAUAUGCUAUGAGUGGGCCCUAAAAAGACCAAAAGAAAAGAAAAGACAUGAAAUCGGUGUAAAGAGCACAGGUGUUCAUGUAUUGCUGUGGGAGGACCACAGAGUUCUCUUAACUCCGUGCACAGUCAUUCCACGCGUUUGGGGCUGAAUUCCCUAGCACGUCUCCCGUGAAGAGGACAGUCUACAGACCCUGUUUCUUGGCAGACCUCUUUUUUUUUUUUUUUCACAAAGAAAGACAAAUAUCAUAUGAUAUCACUUAUAUAUGGAAUCUAAUAAAAUUGAUACAAAAGAAUUUCUUCAUAGAACAGAAACAAACACAGAUUUCAAAAUCAUCCUUAGGGUUACCCAAAGGGGAACCCACGGCAGGGGAGGGAUAAAUUGGGAGGAAGGGAUUAACACAUACGUACUACUGUAUACAAAAUAGAUAACUAACAAGGACCUGCUGAGUAGCACAGGGAAGUAUACUCAACCUAUAUAGGAAAAAAGAAUGGAUAUAUGUAUAUGUAUAACUGAUUCACUUUGCUGUAAACCUGAAGCUAAUACAACAUUGGAAAUCAACUGUACCCCAAUAAAAAUUUUUUAAAAACUAGAGGUGAAAUGCUGGGAAAAUGCUUUGCAAACUGUUAGGUUAGGUUUGUUUGGAUAUAUAUAGUCAAAUUUAUCUGUAGAAAAGUUGUAAUAUGUUAUACUCCUCUCCUAUGCAAGAGAGGGUUCCUUAUGCUCUGGUUUAUCCUAGACACUAUGAUUUUCUUUCAAGUACUGGAAAGUCAAUGACACUGGGUAAUCUUUUAGGAAAGAAACACAGUUGCAGAUCCACCCAAUACUCAAAAGCUUUCCUUCCACAACAGCUCCAUCUGAGAACUAGGGACUAAAGGCUGCCCCCAAAGAAGCCCAACUCAGAUAUAUCUGUGUCUCAGAAGAACCUUUCCUCUCCAUCAGCCUCUGAACACACAUCUGGCCAAACAACUCUCUGUUAUUUGUGACCUAGGCUGGAUUCAGUGCUGACCUAGAUAGAGAAGACUCUGGAUCUCAUUACCCGCCCUCCCGACCAUCUGGUCCUGGCUAAACAGGUUACCCACGCAGUUGGAACCUUCCUCACUCAACUAGCUUUCUUCUUGCCAGGAUUUUUUAAUAUAUAUAGCUAUAUAUAAAUAUAUAUAUUAAACACACACAUUUCCUACCUAGCUCUUUACACACACACACACACACACACACACACACACACACACACACAGAAGAUGAUAAAGGAUUCAAUCAGCUCCCUGGAAGUCCCAGGAGACAGUGAAAAGGCAGAGAAGGGGAGAAAGACUGGAUUCGCAUGGUCAUACGACUGGGGCCUGAGGCGUUGUCUCUGAGUGUUAUCUCACUUAUGUUAAGACCUAAAAUAUUUGUAGUUGGGGGGGAAAUGCCAAUUAUCUUCAAAACUAUUCUUGGCUACAAGUGUUUUUUUCAAAUUCCAAGAAGCAGAUUGUUCUCCCAAGCUCACGAACUAUUUUUAUCUGCAAUGAGGAACACACACCUGUUCCCAUGUUCAUCUAUGUGCGUGGACGCUUGGGUUUGUUGUGUUGAAGGCAGAACUAAGGGAUAGUAAGCUGGAUGUUUUGCCACCUCUGGGGAAGUAUAUUGCUGUGGGACGGACUGUCUUCCUUUAUAGUUACUCAUUUUCUCAAAUGAUAUUUUGGGACUUUAAAAUCAGUCAAUACUGGAGUUCCUGUCAUGGUGCAGCGGAAAUGAAUCUGACUAGCAACCAAGAGGACGCAGGUUCAAUCCUUGGCCUUGCUCAGUGGGUUAAGGAUCUGGCGUUGCCGUGAGCUGUGGUGUAAGUCACAGAUGAGGCUCGGAUCCAGGUUGCUGUGGCUGUGGUGUAGGCCAGGGGCUACAGCUCCGAUUUGACCCCUAGCCUGGGAAUCUCCAUAUGCCGCAGGUGCGGCCCUAAAAAGAUAAAAGACAAAAAAUAAAAUAAAAUAAAAUCAGUCAUACAGAGAAAACAAGCUUAUGGUUACCAAAGGGGAAAGAAAGGGAGGGUUAAAUUUGGAGUAUGGAAUUAUAACACUACUGUAGAUAAAGAGGUGAAAUUACUACAGAUAAAACAGAGAAACAACAAGGACCUACUCUAUAGCCCAGGGAAUUAUACUGACUUGUAAUAACCUUUAAUGGAAAAGAAUCUGAAUAUUUAUAUAAAACUGAAUCACUUUGCUGUACCCUUGAAACAAAUACACUAUUGCAAAUCAAUUAUACUUCAAUUUAAAAAGAUGAAAAUUUAUCAUACAAAGCAAAAUAGACCUAUUUUCAGGACUUCUAUUGUCUGUCGUGCCACGUUGUUACAGCCUCCAUUCUUCUGACACAGGCAUUUAUUUAACCACCAUUAUGGAGAGCCUCCUGUGGGCAGAGCCCUCCACAGGGAGCUGGGAAAGCUUGAGACAAAAUCUCUCCUUUAGCUCUGUCCCUGACCGGCUGUCGUGAAGGGGUCCCUUCAAUUUUCACAGGUCAUGCACCUUUAAAACAAGGCACUUGGCCUUACUGCCCACAGGGGCACUGACUCCCCUGCGCUUGUGGGCUUCUCAUGGUGGAUGCAAGUGGCCUGAGCAGGCUUUAGCUGGCACCCCCUGCCCUGGGUCAGAGAGACACACGGCUCACUUCAGAAGUGAAGCAAGUCAGAGCUGGACAGAACU